GGCUGCGGAGAAUCGGUCCGCGGAAUCAUAAUCCGCGUGUCGGGGGUUCGAGUCCCUCCACCGCUACCA
rnacentral:tRNA from 1 species